rnacentral:rRNA from 1 species
UGAGUUUGAUCAUGGCUGCGACUAAACGCCGGCGGCAGGCUUAACACAUGCAAGUCAAGCGGUAACAGGGGUGCUUGCACCCGCUGAUCAGCGGCGAAAGGGUGAGUAACGCGUAGGCAUUGCCUCACAGAGGGGGAUAGCCCGGGGAAACUCGGAUUAAUACCGCAUACGCCCUACGGGGGAAAGCAGGGGAUCUUCGGACCUUGCGCUAUCAGAUGAGCCUACGUUGGAUCAGCUAGUUGGUAGGGUAAAGGCCUACCAAGGCGACGAUCCGUAGCUGGUCUGAGAGGAUUGAUCAGCCACAUCUGGGAGAUGAGACACGGCCCAGACUCCUACGGGAGGCAGCAGUGGGGAAUAUUGGACAAUGGGGGCAACCCUGAUCCAGCCAUGCCGCGUGUGUGAAGAAGGCCUUCGGGUUGUAAAGCACUUUCAGUAGGGAGGAAAGCUCGGUUGCUAAUAUCGGCCGGGAUGACG